AUAUCAAUAAGCGGAGGAAAAGAAACCAACAGGGAUUGCCUUAGUAACGGCGAGUGAAGCGGCAAAAGCUCAAAUUUGAAAUCUGGCGCCUUCGGUGUCCGAGUUGUAAUUUGAAGAAGGUAACUUUGGAGUUGGCUCUUGUCUAUGUUCCUUGGAACAGGACGUCACAGAGGGUGAGAAUCCCGUGCGAUGAGAUGCCCAACUCCAUGUAAAGUGCUUUCGAAGAGUCGAGUUGUUUGGGAAUGCAGCUCUAAGUGGGUGGUAAAUUCCAUCUAAAGCUAAAUAUUGGCGAGAGACCGAUAGCGAACAAGUACAGUGAUGGAAAGAUGAAAAGAACUUUGAAAAGAGAGUGAAAAAGUACGUGAAAUUGUUGAAAGGGAAGGGCUUGAGAUCAGACUUGGUAUUUUGCGAUCCCUUCCUUCUUGGUUGGGUUCCUCGCAGCUUACUGGGCCAGCAUCGGUUUGGAUGGUAGGAUAAUGAUUAAGGAAUGUGGCUCUACUUCGGUGGAGUGUUAUAGCCUUGGUUGAUACUGCCUGUCUAGACCGAGGACUGCGUCUUUUGACUAGGAUGCUGGCAUAAUGAUCUUAAGCCACCCGUCUUGAAACACGGACCAAGGAGUCUAACGUCUAUGCGAGUGUUUGGGUGUAAAACCCGUACGCGUAAUGAAAGUGAACGUAGGUGAGAGCUCUUAAGAGUGCAUCAUCGACCGAUCCUGAUGUCUUCGGAUGGAUUUGAGUAAGAGCAUAGCUGUUGGGACCCGAAAGAUGGUGAACUAUGCCUGAAUAGGGUGAAGCCAGAGGAAACUCUGGUGGAGGCUCGUAGCGGUUCUGACGUGCAAAUCGAUCGUCGAAUUUGGGUAUAGGGGCGAAAGACUAAUCGAACCAUCUAGUAGCUGGUUCCUG
rnacentral:rRNA from 1 species